rnacentral:misc_RNA from 1 species
GAAGUAUACAGUCACACACGUAGUAGAACCAGUUGAAAGGGGGAUUGCAAAACUUAACAAAACGAUCCAUCGGUUCUCUGAAAACGUUAAACGGCAUGAAGAGCAACGGAAGAGUGCCAAGGAUGACAGCCAUCUGAUUCCUUUGAAUUCCUGGUCAAAAGAAUUUUCUGAAGUCGAAGAAAAUCUUACCCAAGGCAGCGUAAGUGACAGUGGAAUCUCCAAUGGUAAGAGACAACAUUUCCAAUCAAAAACCACAA